rnacentral:rRNA from 1 species
AACGAACGCUGGCGGCAUGCCUAACACAUGCAAGUCGAACGAGACCUUCGGGUCUAGUGGCGCACGGGUGCGUAACGCGUGGGAAUCUGCCCUUGGGUUCGGAAUAACAGUUAGAAAUGACUGCUAAUACCGGAUAAUGUCUUCGGACCAAAGAUUUAUCGCCCAGGGAUGAGCCCGCGUAGGAUUAGCUAGUUGGUGAGGUAAAGGCUCACCAAGGCGACGAUCCUUAGCUGGUCUGAGAGGAUGAUCAGCCACACUGGGACUGAGACACGGCCCAGACUCCUACGGGAGGCAGCAGUGGGGAAUAUUGGACAAUGGGCGAAAGCCUGAUCCAGCAAUGCCGCGUGAGUGAUGAAGGCCUUAGGGUUGUAAAGCUCAUUUACCAGGGAUGAUAAUGACAGUACCUGGAGAAUAAGCUCCGGCUAACUCCGUGCCAGCAGCCG